AUUGAACGCUGGCGGCAGGCCUAACACAUGCAAGUCGAGCGAGCGGCGGACGGGUGAGUAAUGUCUGGGAAACUGCCUGAUGGAGGGGGAUAACUACUGGAAACGGUAGCUAAUACCGCAUACCAUCAGAUGUGCCCAGAUGGGAUUAGCUUGUAGGUGGGGUAACGGCUCACCUAGGCGACGAUCCCUAGCUGGUCUGAGAGGAUGACCAGCCACACUGUAACUGAAGCCCGGUCCAGCCUCCUACGGGAGGCAGCAGGGGGGAAUAUUGCACAAUGGGCGCAGGCCUGAUGCAGCCAUGCCGCGUGUGUGAAGAGGGCCUUCGGGUUUUAAAGCACUUUCAGCGGGGAGGCGUUACCCGCAGAAGAAGCACCGGCUAACUCCGUGCCAGCAGCCGCGGUAAUAC
rnacentral:rRNA from 1 species